rnacentral:rRNA from 1 species
AUGUCCUCCUCCGCGCCGCCGCGUGACGCGCGACACCGUCGACAGCAGGAAGCUGCUGAGGAAGUUGCCGACGCCGAGGCUGAUCAUGGCGUAGGACGUGCCGAGGCUCUUCAUCCCCUCGGGCGCCUGGUCGUAGAAGAACUCGAUCUUGGCCACCUCCAGGAAGGCGUCGGCGACGCCCAUGAACACGAACUGCGGGAGCAGCACGAAGAUGGAGAGCGGGACCAUCGUGCCCCUGCUGUCGAGCACGCCGUUCUCGCGCGCCACGGCCAGGCGGCGCCGCUCAGUCGCCGACGCGACCACCAUGAUCGCGAUGUGGAGGACGAGCCCGACGCCCAUCCGCUGGAGCAGCGAGAUGCCCCGCGGGUUCUUUGUCAGGCGCCGCGUGCAGGGCACGAAGAGGCGGUCGUAGAGCACGACGGAGACGAGCAUGGAGACGGUCACGAACCCCUGCAGGCUCGCCGGCGGGAUGUCGAAGCCGCCGACGCGCCGCUCCAGCGUCGUGCCCUGCUUCACGAACAGCGUGUUGAUCUGGGCCAGCAUCGCGCUCGGCACGAACGUGAUGAACAGCACGGGAAGCAUCUUGAGCAUCUGCUUCGUCUCCUUCACCUGCGUCACCGUGCUCAGCGACCACCGCGACGUGCUCCCGGUCCCGGUCCUCACCGCCGCUUUGCUCAGCACACUGAAAUUCGGCGUGUGGGGCAGCGAGGACGUCUUUUUCCUGUCGUAGUGCUCGGGGUCGAGCUCGUGCAGGUCGCGCGGGUCCGCGGGCGCCGGGACGCGGCACUUGCGGACGGCGGCGACGAUGACCCCGGCCAUCUUGGCGAGGGAGCUCUCGGGUGCUGUGUUUUGAUUUUCGGUUUGUGUUUUUUUUUCGUCCUUGGCCGAAAUGGGCGAAUUUCGCGAAUUUUAAAUUUUUCGGCAAAAUCUCGGACGAAAUUUCAAAAUCAAAAUUUGAAAAUUUGGCCAAAAUUUGACCGAAAUUUGGCCGAAAUUCGGCCGAAAUUCCAACAAGAUUUGAAAUAA